GCCAUUCUUCAGGGAUCGGUGAAAUUCCGUACCGGCGGUGAAAGCCCGCGAGCCUUAAAAGGGUUGAUCCGGUGAAAGUCCGGGGCCGACAGUUAAAGUCUGGAUGGGAGAAGAAUGUU
rnacentral:ncRNA from 2 species